rnacentral:rRNA from 1 species
CCUACGGGUAGCAGCAGUGAGGAAUAUUGGUCAAUGGACGAGAGUCUGAACCAGCCAAGUAGCGUGAAGGAUGACUGCCCUAUGGGUUGUAAACUUCUUUUAUCAAGGGAUAAAACGAGGCACGUGCGCCUUUCUGCAUGUACUUUAUGAAUAAGGAUCGGCUAACUCCGUGCCAGCAGCCGCGGUAAUACGGAGGAUCCGAGCGUUAUCCGGAUUUAUUGGGUUUAAAGGGAGCGUAGAGGGCCUGUUAAGUCAGUUGUGAAAGUUUGCGGCUCAACCGUAAAAUUGCAAUUGAUACUGGCAGUCUUGAGUACAGUAGAGGUAGGCGGAAUUCGUAGUGUAGCGGUGAAAUGCUUAGAUAUCACGAAGAACACCGAUUGCGAAGGCAGCUUACUAGACUGUAACUGACGUUGAUGCUCGAAAGUGUGGGUAUCAAACAGGAUGAGAUACCCGGGUAGUC